CCUACGGGCGGCAGCAGUGGGGAAUAUUGGACAAUGGGGGGAACCCUGAUCCAGCCAUGCCGCGUGUGUGAAGAAGGCCCUCGGGUUGUAAAGCACUUUCAGUGAGGAAGAACGCCUGGUGGUUAAUACCCAUCAGGAAAGACAUCACUCACAGAAGAAGCACCGGCUAACUCCGUGCCAGCAGCCGCGGUAAUACGGAGGGUGCGAGCGUUAAUCGGAAUUACUGGGCGUAAAGCGCGCGUAGGUGGCUUGAUAAGCCGGUUGUGAAAGCCCCGGGCUCAACCUGGGAACGGCAUCCGGAACUGUCAAGCUAGAGUGCAGGAGAGGAAGGUAGAAUUCCCGGUGUAGCGGUGAAAUGCGUAGAGAUCGGGAGGAAUACCAGUGGCGAAGGCGGCCUUCUGGACUGACACUGACACUGAGGUGCGAAAGCGUGGGUAGCAAACAGGAUUAGAUACUCGAGUAGUC
rnacentral:rRNA from 1 species